rnacentral:rRNA from 1 species
AACGAACGCUGGCGGCAUGCCUAAUACAUGCAAGUCGAACGAUUCCUUCGGCCCGAGUGGCGCACCGCUGCGUAACGGAUGGGAACCUGACGUUAGAGUCAGAAGUACGUCACCAAACCGUCGGUGGGGGAUGACACUUGGUACGAGCUACUGAUUUCUCGUAUUUGGUUGGGCCCGCGUUGGAUAGGCUGGUUGGCAGGUUAGAAGCCCACUAAGGCGACGAUCCAUAGCUGGUCUGAGAGGAUGAUCAGCCACACUGGGACUGAGACACGGCCCAGACUCCUACGGGAGGCAGCAGUGGGGAAUAUUGGACAAUGGGCGAAAGCCUGAUCCAGCAAUGCCGCGUGAGUGAUGAAGGCCUUAGGGUUGUAAAGCUCUUUUACCCGGGAUGAUAAUGACAGUACCGGGAGAAUAAGCUCCGGCUAACUCCGUG